rnacentral:rRNA from 1 species
GACGAACGCUGGCGGCGUGCUUAACACAUGCAAGUCGAACGGAAAGGCCCUGCUUUUGUGGGGUGCUCGUGUGGCGAACGGGUGAGUAACACGUGAGUAACCUGCCCUUGACUUUGGGAUAUCUUCAGGAAACUGGGGCUAAUACCGGAUAGGAGCUCCUGCUGCAUGGUGGGGGUUGGAAAGUUUCGGCGGUUGGGGAUGGACUCGCGGCUUAUCAGCUUGUUGGUGGGGUAGUGGCUUACCAAGGCUUUGACGGGUAGCCGGCCUGAGAGGGUGACCGGCCACAUUGGGACUGAGAUACGGCCCAGACUCCUACGGGAGGCAGCAGUGGGAAAUAUUGCACAAUGGGCGGAAGCCUGAUGCAGCAACGCCGCGUGCGGGAUGACGGCCUUCGGGUUGAAAACCGCUUUCGACUGUGACGAAGCGGGAGUGACGGUAAUGGGUAAAGAAGCACCGGCUAACUACGUG